rnacentral:rRNA from 1 species
GACGAACGCUGGCGGCGUGCCUAAUACAUGCAAGUCGAACGCAGUGGGGACGGGUGAGUAACAAGUGGGUAACCUGCCCAUCAGAGGGGAUAACACUUGGAAACAGGUGCUAAACCGGUACUGCUGGAUGGACCCGCUGUGCAUUGGCUAGUUGGUGAGGUAACGGCUCACCAAGGCCACGGUGCAUAGCCGACCUUCGAGGGUGAUCGUCCAGACGGGGACUGAGACACGCCCCCGAAUCCUACGGGAGGCAGCAGUAGGGAAUCUUCGGCAAUGGACGAAAGUCUUACCGAGCACCGCCGCGUGAGUGGAGAAGGUUUUCGGAUCGUAAAACUCUUUUGUUAGAGAAGCGGUAUCUAACCAGAAAGCCACGGCUAACUACGUGCCAGCAGCCGCGGUAAUUU